ensembl:lncRNA
GUACUCCAUGCAGAAUUUGAAGCAGGUCUUGAGUGAGAUCUUUGCAGUGUAUGCUAACGGCGUGGCCGAGCUGGAGGGCAAUAGCAAGCAGAUCCUGGAGAAGCUGGACGGGGCCAGGGCACUGAACGGUUGCCAUGGAGAUGACCUGCAGAGUGAGUAACCCUAACCUCACAGACUCAGUGGACGGAAGUGCUGAUGCACUCAGGAGCUCCUGGUUUCCCAUCCUACACGAGUACUGUAACCAAGUACGAAACAUAGAGCUGAGGGGGAACAUCAGGGUUCACUGUAGGGUGCGUCCUGUCAUCAUCACAUUUCCCUCUUGGCGCAUUUAAUGGCCUUGGGGUGCUCAUGCUAGCACUCUGUCUAGCACUCACUGAAGUUUGCUUUUAUUCAUCAUCGUCCUCCUAAUCUGUUGGGCGUCUAUCCCCAGAGUCCUUUCUGUCUUAUUCCAAACUGUCUUGGACGCUCUGCGAUCGAAGAGCACCUGUUUUUGCAAUGCCGACUUAUCCAUGCGGCAGACAUGGCCCAUAUACUUCACUUGUUGGGUGAAACAGAAGUCACGUAUUGGACGCGUCUUGGUAAUUUGACGCAAUCUUGUGUCCUGUGCUUCCAUUGGACCAGGUCCAGUCCUGCUCAUCCCCAUCAGGGGUGAUCUCUUCAGAGGAGGUCAUUCAUGUCAGCGAGGACACCGUGUUGGUGAACUGCAGUCCAGUCAUCAACAAGGUGUUUGAAUUUGAGAGAGUGCAUGGACCGGAGGACUCCCAGAACGUAGUGUUUGAGGAGCCUCUCCUCACAUCCCUACUGGAUGGGUAUAAUGUGUGUAUAAUGGAAAAACCCACACCAUGAUGGGCUCCCAGGGGCCCCCCAGGUCCCCUCAGCCAGGGGCCCCCCAGUGUGUCUCCUCCCCCGGGGACCAGCAGGGCAUCAUCCCCCAAGCUGCUGCGGAGCUCUUCAGGCUUGACUACUGCAAUGGUCUUCUCUACGGCACCACCAACAAAGUCCUCAAAAAACUUCAAUAUGUCCAGAACUCAGCUGCACGCCUCCUCACUGGUACCCGCUCCAGAGAACACAUCACACCUGUCCUCCGUGAACUCCAUUGGGUUCCAAUUAAACACAGAAUCAACUACAAAAUCUUACUCAUCACCUACAAGCCUACAGCCUAGCCCCCCUCCUACCUUGCCGACCUCCUCCAUCACCACGCCCCUUCCCGAUUCCUCAGGUCCAAUUCUGCCAACCUGCUACAAGUUCCACGGACUGAGCGACGGACUUGGGGUGAUCGGGCCUUCUCAGUUGCUACCCCCACCCUUUGGAAUUCACUCCCCUCCCACAUCAAAGUCUCUCCAACCCUCACUUCUUUCAAAUCUGCCCUCAAAACAUACCUUUUCACACUAGCCUUCCCCACCUAACUCCCACCUUAUUCUUCAUGUUUAACCUCUGUUUUUCUUUUAUUCCUAGUCUGUCUUACAUAGUUUUGAUAGGGCAAUAUGUAAAGCGUCUUAGAGUACCAUAUUAAGCGCUAUAUACAUUUCAUUUAUUAUUAUUAUUAUUUUAGAUAUUAUAUAGCCUAUUUGUUUUGUUAAAUGACAGAAAGCCUAAUAAGGUAUGUUAUGCACGUUAUGCAUGUUAUGCGUAAUUUGGGGCGUAUUCAAAUAAUGUAUUUUAUAUAUUAUACAUAGCCUUUUUGUUUUGUUAAAUGUCAUUAAGCCUAAUAAGGUAUGUUAUGCACAGUUCUUCGUUAUAGAGUGAUAUAGGUUAAUAUAAGUGCAUGAUGUGGAAGAAUUUGUCACAGUGGUACAAGCGGUAGUGACGCCUGGUUAGUAAUCAAGAAGGUGGUUGUUCGAUUCUCUCCGGGGUCAGAUACAUUUCUGCUCAAACUUACUGACGCAAUCGGCCUCUUUCUUUUGAACAUUUUUGUAUGAUUUAGUACGAUGGUAUGAUAAUUAUACGACGUAAUGACGGGCUGCGACGCCUGGCUGAUAUCGGCUGGCUGGCUGCGACGACAGGCCAGCCAUGGCUGGCCGCUGUCUGCCGCUGGCUGCUGGCUGCGGCUGGCAGCUGGCUCUGGCAGGCUGACCGACUAGGUCGCGACCAUAAAAGCGUCGCGACCCUUUUGGCGGCAAAUAGGUCGCAACCAACCAGAGGUAUGGCUGAAUGAGCAACCUGUGGCAGCCAGCCAUUGUCACCAUGGCUGCUACCAUAACAAAAAGCCUAUAUGUUAUCAGUUAACAUCUCAUUGAACAGAAUAAAUACACUUGCGUCAGUAUAAUAAAAACGUACAUACAAUAAUAUAUAGGCUUAUUGGUCUAUCCAUCUAUAUUUAAGUAAUACAGUGAUGUGUACAAAUUUAUAUUGAUUAUAUUGUAUAGCCUAUUGAUCUGUUAAAUGUCAAAGACUAUUAAAAUAUCCUAUGAAGAAAGUUAUAGUGUAUUAUACAACGGGGGCCUAAAUCCAGAGAUCUGAUUGGUUCCUAACUGUUGUAUAAUGAGCAUAUACAUAACUGCUAUGACGCCCGAUCAUUUUGUGAAAGUAUCACUCCGCGCCUUGAAGUGGAAACCGUUACAACCGUUCUCUCGGAGGGACGCUAAAGUGUGUUGCAUAGCGACCGUCGUGCAUUUUGAAGGCAGCCAGGAG